rnacentral:rRNA from 1 species
UAACGCGUGGGUAACCGUGCCUUGUACUGGGGGAUAGCAGCUGGAAACGGCUGGUAAUACCGCAUAAGCGCACAAUGUUGCAUGACAUGGUGUGAAAAACUCCGGUGGUAUAAGAUGGACCCGCGUCUGAUUAGCUAGUUGGUGAGAUAACAGCCCACCAAGGCGACGAUCAGUAGCCGACCUGAGAGGGUGACCGGCCACAUUGGGACUGAGACACGGCCCAG